ACACACACAUCUCACACACACUUACUCCCGCACACACUCUGAGUUGACCUAAAUCACAGAGCUGGAAAGACGGAGGUGAAAGCAGAACAGAAACUGGACAGACUUGCUCGCUCUGUCCGUGCCUGUCCCCGCCCGCGCACACGUGUGUGUGUGUGUGUGUGUGUGUGUGUGUGUGUGUGUGUGUGUGUGUGUGUGUGUGUGUGUGUGUGUGUGUGUGUGUGUGUGUGUUCUGUGUUUCAGUUUCAGCCGUUGCCUGCCCCUGUGAGAGCUGUGUGCUGUGCCUCAGUGAUUGUGGAGCGUAUGAGCAGUGUUUGUGUCUGUGUGUGUCUGUGUGUGUGUGUGUGUGUGUGUGUGUGUGUUUGAGCAAGCGUCACUGUGCGUGAAGGAGACGUGGAGCACACUCUUAACUGUUUUGGACUGUCACUGAAGACGGGAGGUGAGGAGAGGAGGGAGACGAGCUAGCCCACUGCACUGUGACGGAGGAGUGGGGAGAGGGGGAUGAGUGACGGAGCGCUAGGUCAGCACGCUAGAGGGUAGACGGAUACCAGACACGGCCAGACCACCAGCCCGCAUACUGCCACAGGUCUGACCUGAUGGUGGUUAUUUCCUUUAAUGCAAUGGAUGAUUCUGGAACCAAACCCUCUCACAUGUCCAUCAUGGCGACACCCUGCAUACCAGAAUCAACUCUCUGCCCAACCCAAACACACGCUACACUCCUGUCCCUCUUUCUGUUUCUCUAUACACCUGCCAUUUAACGUCCGUCUCCCGUCAACAUUGAUAAUAACAACUAAUGGCAUUCAUAUAAUAUAAUAAAUAUAUAUUUAUCAUCAAAGAUCACAAUCUACUGCUUCUCUGUCUGUCUGUCUGUCUGUCUGUCUGUCCGUCCGUCCGUCCGUCCGUCCGUCCGUCCGUCCGUCCGUCUGUCUGUCUAUACACCUGCCUCCUGUUGACUCUAUGUCAGCCUGUCUGUAUAUCUCUCUAUAAGCCCUGUCUGUCUGUCACUUUUGAACAUUGGUUGUGUUCUCCUCUCCUUCUCCUCACCCCUUUCUCCCUCUGUCCUGUACUAGUAUGUGUUCGAACAGCACCCUAGGUGCAUCGGUGUUGAAAACCUUAAAGGGACUCCCAUUAAAAACACUUACAGGGUGUCCUAAAGCAGCUCAUUGUCUUCUAAUGACAUUGUUUCCACUUGUUGGGCAACUCUCUGUACCGCACAUCCACACCUUCACAUCAACACACACGCACUUACUUCUGGCCUCAUACGUACAUUCAUGAACAAAGGCCAAGUCACAUGACUAGCUCAUGCUCUUUAUGAGGAAGCACGCAUUCGGUUGAGUCUGUGUGUGUGUUUGUGACGUGUGCGUUUGUGUGACGUGUGUGUGUGUGUGUGUGUAUGUGCGCUCGCAUGUGCAUGUCUGGGUUUGAAUCUGACCAUACAGAGAUUUAACAAGCAAGUCAUUAAGAAAACAUUAUUAUCUACAAUGGCGGUAAAAAGAGACAGCCUCUUAAGGAAAGGGGGUGGGGUCUAAUAGUUAAAAGACAGAAGUACACAUCCAAACACACCCACUACUAACAUACAAGUACAAUAAGCACAACAUAAAUAGCCUACAGUCUAGCAAACAAGCAUCAGGGA
ensembl:lncRNA